CUACUAGUCCUGAUUGUGUGUCUGAUGAUACAGGAAACUCAAGUCUGUCUGUUCCUCUAGGGAUCCUAUUGCCAGCCAACCUGUGAUACCAGGGUUGAACAGAAAGCAAUGUGAUCAGAUUGUGAAUUUGAUUCAACAGACUCUUUCAAAGGAUUCUAGUGAUCAAGUUUCUUCUCCCAUGUGUUCUGCUAAUUUUGCUGGUACUAUGAUGUCUGAGAGUCUUGUUUCUGA
rnacentral:lncRNA from 1 species